rnacentral:rRNA from 1 species
GAUGAACGCUGGCGGCGUGCCUAAUACAUGCAAGUCGAGCGAACGGACGAGAAGCUUGCUUCUCUGAUGUUAGCGGCGGACGGGUGAGUAACACGUGGUUAACCUACCUAUAAGACUGGGAUAACUUCGGGAAUCCGGAGCUAAUACCGGAUAAUAUUUUGAACCGCAUGGUUCAAAAGUGAAAGACGGUCUUGCUGUCACUUAUAGAUGGAUCCGCGCUGCAUUAGCUAGUUGGUAAGGUAACGGCUUACCAAGGCAACGAUGCAUAGCCGACCUGAGAGGGUGAUCGGCCACACUGGAACUGAGACACGGUCCAGACUCCUACGGGAGGCAGCAGUAGGGAAUCUUCCGCAAUGGGCGAAAGCCUGACGGAGCAACGCCGCGUGAGUGAUGAAGGUCUUCGGAUCGUAAAACUCUGUUAUUAGGGAAGAACAUAUGUGUAAGUAACUGUGCACAUCUUGACGGUACCUAAUCAGAAAGCCACGGCUAACUACGUG